UGCUUUUUUUGUCGGUGGCAGUGCCGCUAGCUCAGUCGUCUUCAGGGCAGAGUACCCCUAAUGCCACAGCUCGCAACAUAAGUAUCGAUAACUUCGCGGUCUCACUUUACUAAUCUAUCGGUCAUCACUAAGGGCAAGAACGUAAACAAAGCAAAAAUUACAAUUAUUGUCGGGAAAAUGGAUUACAUUUGGUGGCUAUCGAUGUCCUAGCCAAGCGCUCCCACCCAACCAUGGAUGCCCUCAAGAUGCUGCAGGGCACCACCCAUUCGCAGUCGGCAGGAGCCCCUUCCUCGCGACUGCGGCUACGGUUCCAUCUCCCCCACUGGGAAAGCUUAUUCACACAUAGUGGUUUUACAAAGGUUUAAUAAAUAUGCCUCUAAGACCGAAACCUGGCCGCCGUCUCGGACAUUUACGCGGUCAAAGCAGAGGAUUUGUUUUGCUGGGAAAGGGUACAGGCGCCGCGGGAACUAUGCUCUACCAGCCAUGUAUUGGUUGAGCUCGCAUGGAAACGCGGGCCUCAAGGGAACAUGCGCGAUGCGCGGGUGUAUGGUCACGUAAUCCUGAGGAGCUCCAAGGGAAAAGAAGGGACAGGCCAAAAAGGCAAACAACGAGGACAAAUAAGGCUCUCGGGUCUAACUCCGGAUAAACUCACAAACAGGGAAGUAGAUAUCUAUAUAUAUAUAAUCAAGGUAC